AGAGUUUGAUCCUGGCUCAGGAUGAACGCUAGCUACAGGCUUAACACAUGCAAGUCGAGGGGAAACGAUAUUGGAAGCUUGCUUCCGAUAGGCGUCGACCGGCGCACGGGUGAGUAACGCGUAUCCAACCUGCCCACCACUUGGGGAUAACCUUGCGAAAGUAAGACUAAUACCCAAUGAUAUCUCUAGAAGACAUCUGAAAGAGAUUAAAGAUUUAUCGGUGAUGGAUGGGGAUGCGUCUGAUUAGCUUGUUGGCGGGGUAACGGCCCACCAAGGCAACGAUCAGUAGGGGUUCUGAGAGGAAGGUCCCCCACAUUGGAACUGAGACACGGUCCAAACUCCUACGGGAGGCAGCAGUGAGGAAUAUUGGUCAAUGGACGAGAGUCUGAACCAGCCAAGUAGCGUGCAGGAAGACGGCCCUAUGGGUUGUAAACUGCUUUUAUAAGGGAAUAAAGUGAGUCUCGUGAGACUUUUUGCAUGUACCUUAUGAAUAAGGACCGGCUAAUUCCGUGCCAGCAGCCGCGGUAAUACGGAAGGUCCGGGCGUUAUCCGGAUUUAUUGGGUUUAAAGGGAGCGUAGGCCGGAGAUUAAGCGUGUUGUGAAAUGUAGAUGCUCAACAUCUGAACUGCAGCGCGAACUGUUUUCCUUGAGUACGCACAAAGUGGGCGGAAUUCGUGGUGUAGCGGUGAAAUGCUUAGAUAUCACGAAGAACUCCGAUUGCGAAGGCAGCUCACUGGAGCGCAACUGACGCUGAAGCUCGAAAGUGCGGGUAUCGAACAGGAUUAGAUACCCUGGUAGUCCGCACGGUAAACGAUGGAUGCCCGCUGUUGGUCUGAAUAGGUCAGCGGCCAAGCGAAAGCAUUAAGCAUCCCACCUGGGGAGUACGCCGGCAACGGUGAAACUCAAAGGAAUUGACGGGGGCCCG
rnacentral:rRNA from 1 species